UUACAGAAUUAGUUGUAUAUGAAAAUAGUUGUAUAUGAAAAUUUCAGAGGUAUUAUUAAUUUAUAUGCAUAGUAUUGAUAGUGAAUAUAUUGAGAUUUAGAACAAUAGUAGUAUAACUUAAGGACGAACAAAAGAACAGUCAUGUUAUUUGAAUAAUUUUCAGUAAGCAUUGUUCUCUCACGUUAACACUCAUGAAUGUAGGGUGAGCGUAAGCCUGUCCACUCGAAGGGACUCUUCAAAAUCAAGCUAAAAAGAGAUUUACGAAAGGGAGGAUUGGAAAGAGAGGUCAAGGACUGGGGCCCUGAUGAUGUUGCUGCUUGGCUGGAUGGAUUGCAUCUCACUGAGUAUAGGGAGUCAUUCAUUGGGCAUGACAUACGUGGAUCUGAACUGCUAAAUUUGGAGAGAAGAGAUCUCAAGGAACUCGGAAUUACAAAAAUCGGACACAUUAAGAGAAUCUUGCAAGGAAUCAGGGAAAUAAAAGACUCCAAAGCACAUGUAUAGGUGGAAUCAUAUCCAGGAAAUCUAUGCCAUUUGUAUAAAAUUUGAAGGUGAACAAGCAAAUGGUUGUUCAGAUGGCAGUACAGUAAAUGGGAUCAACACUUGCAAGGUUGUGUAUAAGGGGAUCACAUUUAGUUAAGGUAUUUUAUUUCUGUUUCCAUCUCUUAUUCUGAAGAUAUUUUUUACAUUGCUUUGUUGUAAUACCUAAGACUUGAUAUCUCACAUAGCAAGAAAUGGGAUUCUUUUUAUUUUGAUGAGCCAUUGUUAUGAAAUGAAGAGGCUUUAUUUUACAUUUUAUAUUUUUAUGAAUAUAAUGUACUGCUUAUAUCUACGUACUUUGUAUUAAAUGAAUGAGGAAUAAGCUUAUCUUUGGUGAUUUCUAGUGUAUGUCUAGUGCUUUUUUCCUCUGUUUCAAGUUCAGUACAGAGAAUAAUCUCCUUUUAUGAUAAAGAGAGGGGUGAGUGUGGAAAAAAGUGGCAAAGCAAUAGGAUGCUGAAAUUCAGUGCUAAUACUUGAAAAGUCAAGUAUAGUUGGUAUAAAAGCAAGGUAUUUUUUCAUAUAAUUUUGCAUUUUCUAGUCAUUAAGUUAAGCUUAUUUUGCUAUCAUAAAUUUUUGUUCAUAAUGAAUAGAAGUAAGUACCAGACGACAAGCAUAACUUGUAAUAGAUUUUAUUUAUUCGUGUGAGCACAGGUAAUUAAUAUAUAGGCACCUGCAAAAUAAUUCAAACGUAACCCCAUUUAAUGGUGAAAUAUGCGUUAUAAUUUUUGUUUUGUGAUGUAUGUAUGUAUAUUGUAUGUAUAUCUUUUCAGAAGCAUUUGCUCUUGUCCCCCUCGGGUAGGAUGGUACCAGGUACAAUAUUGCCCAUCUAGUUUCAAAAAACCCUUUUGGGAUGAGAUGGUGUCUUGCUUUUUUUGAUGGUUGCCUAACCAGCUACUGAUCACACUUAGUGCAAUGUGUGUGUGUAUGUGUAUUUGUGCGUAUAUGUAUUAUGUUCCCAGAUUCACCUUUCUUUUGUCAUAUAUUAGACAGAAAAAGAAUGGUAGUCUCAUGAUCUAUGCACCACCUAUACCCUUGAGUAUGUAUUGGACUGACUCACUUUUUUUUUAUUCUGUAUGUCAUCUAGGCAGGAUAAUUUUUUAAAUUCUAACCAUACUUUUAUUCAUUAGCUUAUUCAUCUUCCUCUUCCAUCCUCUUUCAUGUCUUUCCUUAAAAUUAGUACUCUUAGCAGCUAUGUAUGUACUUACAUGUUGCUGGUGCCAACUUCUGGAUCAUUGGCUUCGUGGCACAAAUGUGUUAGUUACUUAGUCAUUUAUCUUGGUAAUUUCUCCUGUUUUCAUUUGUUAGUAAUAUUCUAAGGUUUAUUUCACUACUUUUUUCUGAAGCUUUUAUGUUGGAUUUUUAGUGUUUAGUGCUAUUCAAACUAGCUACUUGAUACAUAACUAGUUAGAGCCUGGUUUUCAUUCUUGCUAUCCUCUGAUACUUUACUAUGUUAUUAGUUAAGAGCAAAAGAGAAAGCGAUGGUCCUUGGUGGAGUUUUCUGUGAUGUUUCUUUGUCACCUGUUAGGAUGUUUUUUUAUUUAGUAAUAAAUUUUACUUAUGCUUUUUGUAAGAGUAUCAGUUGUGUAUUUUUUUUUUAUUUUGCCUUAAUUAUUCCCUAAUAUGCAUGUCAUAUUUUCAUCUGGUAUGUGCCAGUCCCUUCAUUACUUACUAUAUCCUGUUUACCAGAAUUUUCAUGUAAACUAAAUUCUGGAUGCUGUGUAUGGUACAGGCUUUUUUUUUUGCCUUCUAAUUUUUGUACCUAUCAGUAGAGUUGAGGUUUUUUCUGUAUGCGUUGUGUUUUUUAGCAAUGCGUUAACAGACUUUCAGAGGUCUUCCAGAGAAGGCCUGGUGUGCCUGUGUCAUUUUUUGAUGAGGACCUAGACCUCAUGUACAGUAGCUGCUGUACUAGUUCUGUUAGUCUAGCCUCCCCUGAUAUGUGCUCUGAAUGGACUUCUUUUCUUACUAACAUCUAAAUCUCAAUAAAUGGUGAGUUCCUUCAUGUUCCAAUCCAGGACAUACUUAUCAGGUACAAUUGCCUUGCUUUACACUUACAUGGUUUGUGAGCCAACCACCUUUCUGUGAUUCAUAAAAGUCUCCUAAUGCUCUCUUGGUUUCUACAGGUAUAGUCUGUACAAACACUCUUGGCAUAUUCAGCAACAAAGUCUUCCCCCCAGAAGUAGAUUCUUGCUUGGGAUUGUGAUAAAACAGACUUGCUUUUUAUUUAAAACCCAUCAAUUAUACGAUGAUUUCCAUCCUUCCAGCCCAACUGUUUUGCAACCUCAUUUACAGACUAUUCAUGAAGUGUAGUCUGAUGGUAGGUGAGGAUCUAGGUGAUGCAUUUAUCUGGAGAUUACCUUUCUUCUCAAGUCUGUGAGACAGACUUGAAUCUGGGACAUGCAAUGAAAAAUAUAUGGUUGAUGGGUUUGUAUAAAGACUCAGUUAUAUUAUAAAAAAUUUUCUUCUUCUUCUUCUUCUUCUUCUUCUUCUUGCUAAUUUGGGUCCUGUUCUUAAUGAGCCACCUCAAGCUGUGUAUACUGUCUUGAAUAGUGCAUUUCAUAGUAGGUUUUGGCAGAUAUUUUUUUACUGACAAAUUUGACAAAUGCCCUUACUGACUCCAAGUUCCUUAGAGACUUGCUUUGAUCUAGAUCCAAAGAUGUGAGAAAUAAUAAAAAGAAGGUGAAUGAUAGGCCCCAAUUAUUUAGAAAGUGAUAGACUUCUUUUUAAAAGAAAAACCUGCUAAUCCUAAAAAAAAUUAGUAGGAAGAAUUCUAAAGCUUGGCUGUAGAAGGAGAAAACUGUAACUGAGUUGUACAGUCUGAGGAUUACUGAUUUUUACAGAAUGUGCUGACAAGAAGAUGGACUGAAAGGGAUACCUGAAAGCCAGAGGAUUUCUUGGUCCUGAAUUUAACAGUUACUAAAAUAGUACAUAUGAAAAAAAAAGAGAGAAGUCAUAAUUUGGAAGAGAUAUUGUUGAGAUAUUGGGUAACAUCGUAAUUGGUUUCCAAAGGAUGAUAGAAGUAGUACUCCACACAGGGAGAAAAUAGUCCAACUAAAAGCAUUAAUAACAUCAGAUGACAAUUGAAUUGAAGACAUCUCAGAAAUAUGCCAAAUUAUUUUGCAGAAGUAUCCUUUUGAACCAUAUGGUAUGUAAAAUGCAAAUUUUAAAUCUCUGAACAUGUAACAUUGAAGUGAUAGCCUUGGUUAAAUUUCCAUUAUCAGUAAUUGGGGAACACGAUGGGAAAGAAGACAAAUUAGAAGAAAUUGUCUUGGAGGUAUUGAAUUUAACUUAAGUUACGGAAUCCCCAGUUAGGUAAAGAAAAGAAAUAAUAAAGUUCAAACAUUUGAAGAUCAACUUAAAAUCCAGAUUGGUCAGUGAAUACAGGUACUAGGCUUUUAUAUCUUGAGCCAAAUUCCAUUCAGCUUGCUCAUUUGGCACUCAUUUUUUUCACUGCCCUGGUGCCUUACCAAAAUAAAUCAAGUAAUUGAUUUUAGACCAACUUUAAAAGAACUGUAGUGUCUAGCUUGCAGGACAACAGAAACAAAUGCACCAUCAAUUGUAGGUAUUAUUUCUUGAAUGACCUGCUGACAUUAGUUUUCCUGAGAGCCACUAUUUGGUACACAGAUGCCACUCUUUGAUCUGGCAUUGGAUCUUGGGGCCAUUAAUUCCAUGCAUGAACUUUGUCAUUCACAUAGUAGUAAAACCUUAAUUAUUUGGGUUGUAGAGUCCCCUCAAGAGCAAUUCAACAUCUGGGUUUCAGCAGUGUUUUUCAAUACACUUGUGUGUCAUAAAAACAGACAUCCCCUAAUGUGCAAAUUUAGGACCUUUUUAGCAGUCAGGGCUAUGUUCGAUACAUGGUAGAGAAUGAUAGUAUCUGCAUCACAACUUCCCUCACUUGCUAUGGCAUUUACUAGCUUCAAGUAACAACUGUCAACAGCAAGGGCAAAAUUCACAUCUAUCCAAAAAUAUUUUGGGGCCAUGGGAGACAUUAUGAUUACUUUAAUUUAUCAUUGCACUGAGAGAGGCACCUACCUGAGUUUUAUUUUUGAUCAGAUAUUCUGAACACUUGGGACAAUGUGCAAUUGCAUUCAUGUAUUUAAUAUAAUUGUUUCCUUAAAACAGUUAUUUACAGAAGCUCCUUCUCUUCUGGCAUAGCUUAUUAAUUGAGAAUUAUCAAAGCAUACAAAAUUAUUAACCCAGUUCAGGAAGACUGAUGUUUCAUCUCUUGUAUAUUAGUAACCAGAAACAUUACAACUUUUACUGUUUGCCAUUUUCCUUUUCAAAGGGCUUUCCUCACCCAUGGAAAAAGUCAGGGUUGUAUAAGUAUUUGAUGUAAUGACUAGUUCCAAAACAUCCCAACCCUCUGUACCACUGAAAGUGCCAGUCCGGCACCAGGAGCUAGCAGUGCUUUUAACUCCAUGUUUACAGGUUAUCCAAGGCAAUGUUUUCGACAUUUAUCCCACCAAGAGGCUACUCACCCAAUGUGCUCUACACUGUUCUUUCCUAGGCAAAUUGAGCAAUCUUCAGUGGUUGGUGAUAUAUGUACAUUGUAUCAUUUGGUAUCAUUAUUCUUUCUGUUGCGUGCAGUGUGUUAAAGUUUAUGAAUCAGCAUUCCUUCUUGCAAGGUCCUUUCCCCAAGUUAGAUACUCCUCUUGUAGUAAGUAGCCUUUUUAGUUCUCAUUAAAGCUUGUGGAGUCUUAUUAUAAGAUUUUGUACCUAGAGUAUCUACAUAAGGAUUUUUUGCAUCUGCAAAGUGAACAAGUGAACUUCACAGUCGUUUUAAGAGUAACCUGUACAUUGUAUGAGGAAACCAGUUUGUCUCUCUCAUGGCCCUUACUAUACAUCAGAAAUUAUUUUAAAUAGUGAUGGUUUUGUCUUGAGACUCUCUGAAAUCUUAUCUUAUCUCUAACUCCAAGGAAAACCUGAAGAGAAAUUUUCAUCUUAUCAGAAGAUCAACAAUGUUGCUCAUCUCUACCGGUGCCCUAUGUGAUCAGUCCCCAGAAACUACAGUGUGCAGUAAAUGUGUGAUAGCUUAUUUUUGGAGCUUUCUUGUUCAUUUUUGGAGCUAUCUUGUCUUUCUUUGAAGAGAUACACUUUGACAGAUGCAAGUGUUCAUAUGAUACAGCACUUGUGCCGUCAUUCUUUUUUAAUGUAUCAAGUAGUUCACAGUUCUUUGCAUGACAAAUCCACCAUUCCUUUCAUGCAAAUUUGAUAUAUCAGAUGACAAAGAAUGUGGACUUGCAUUAAAACACUAGUUCCUCCCCCAUUUUUUAAUGGAGUGUAUCUUCUUUAGUGAAUUUUGCUGGUAUUCUGCUUCAGUUUCCAUCAGUUUAAAUGUUCGCUAAUUUUUCCAUCUGUAACAAAUAAAACCAUAUGUAAAUUGUUGAUAUAUCUACCGUAUUAAGAAAUAUCUUGAUGGUAUUAAAAGGUUCACACUACCCUUCAACUUCUAUGCAUAUUACAUGUUAGACUAUAUGUAUUUAUGGACCUCUUGAAAAUUCUGUAGGCAGCUCUUCAAUAUACUGGGAUAUUGAGCACAUAUUAUAAAAUUUUGGAGUUCUGAAGUGAGAAUAGUAACUGGCUCUGAUGGUUAUCUUUAUUACUGUGAUUAAAAGCCUCUUCUUUUACUCAGGUUCAUUUUGUCUACUUAUUUGAUUGUUCAAAACUUUUAGAAUUCAUCAUAUGAAAUUUUAUGCCUUCAUGGUAGAAAGAAAAACUUGUAUUGAGUUCUUGUUAUACCUGAAUAUGGUAAGCUAUUUUUUUAAGAACUUUCAAAAUCUGUGGUAUGGUUAGACAGUGAAGAUAUGUUACUAUAGAUAUUAUAGUGAGCGACAUGGCAAGUGCUGUUUGUCUGUUAUUGGCCGUAAGAGUCAGUGCCAAUGGUGAUUGCAGUUAAGAACAAUGUCAUUUGUAAAGGACAUGUUUGUUCUUGUGCUAUGAAAUGUGAUAUCUUAUAGGAGCUUUUCUUGUAUGGGAAAAUUUGCUAUAUUGAUGAUACCAGAUCAGUAGGAAGGCAGUGUCCUCACAGUCUAAAGAAGUCAACUGUUUAGAAUAAUCCCAGCAUUACAGGUUAAGCUGUCUGAGGUCCUGAAAAUGAAUGUGAAAUGAUUGAACAAUUUGUGGCAGGUAACAGUAGACAGACACAGCACUUAAAGGACCAUUUUAUAGGCUUCAUCAGUGCCUCCCAGGAAGGGAGGCUGUGGUUAAUGCUGGCUGCCUGUUGCCUGCUUAAAGUUUAUGAAUUAUAACCAUUUUCAUGUAAUUAUUUUCAGUUUUCUUGUAAUUUUUACAUGACCAGUUUACCUCAUCAUAAAUUUACUGAUAAAUUAGUUUUAAUUGACUUACUAGGUAAGCUCUUCAGUGGGAAGCUGUAUGAAUGUGUAUAUAAUAACUCAGUAUUAAGAACUUCUGUGAUGCUAGAAUUCUUACAGUGUUCGACAAAUUAAGUCUAUUACCACUGUUGCCUUUUAUAAAGAUUUCAAAGGAAUAUGUUAUGACUGGUUCCCAUUCAUUAAAAAAAGGAGCUUGCUUGUUAGUAAGGUUAUGUAAAAAAGAAAAAAAAAGGAAAUAUGGAGAAAUGAAGUGAUUUACUUGUUCCAUAGAACAAUUGAUUACAAUUUAGAUUAGAUCUGAGCCUCGAUGUAAAUCCAGGAUUGUUUUGUAAGAAUAGACAAGCUUCCUGCAGGUUGAGGGAGAAUGUACGAAUAAUAUACAUUUUGAGUAAAUGUUUCAGUUGCAUAAUAAUAUUUAUGAAAGAACACUGAAAUGAUGCAAAAUAUCUGGGUAGCAAUGUCAGUUAUUAAUCAUUAAUUUCUUGAUGGUUUGUCAGUAGCUUUUGAAACCAGGGACUCGAUUUAUAAGUCUGUUUCUUGUGGAAACGACAUUAUUUUAAAUUUAACAGCCUAGCUGAUAAUUUUAUCACAGCACCUAAUAAUAUAUAACCCUUGAAGCACUACGUAAUCAUUAAAUUCAUUGAAUAUAUGCCUGAUGGCAGUGUUGAAAAUGGUUAAGCAUUUGUGAUUGAAAUGCAUUUGCUCUGGUUGAUGUUUGCCAUAUCUAUUUGCCCUUUCUAGUUGUUUGCUUGCUUGUUUUUUCCUCUGCUAAAGAAAUUAUAGCAGAAUUUUCAUUACUUUUGGUACUGUUUCUGUUAUUGUUUUAGUAUUGAAUUGUGGCAGUAUUUUAGAUCAACAGAUUCAUGAUGUGUUUGGGGUUCUAGAAAAAGCUUUCAGUUGGUAGGUUGAUUCUGAUUUUCUUCAUCACAUCUUAUCUUUUUCUCAUUGGUAAAUUUACUUGUUUAUGUUUUGUCAGUGGUUUUGAUUAGUUAAUCAGAUGCUAAAAUGAUGAGGAUUAGAGAUUGGGAAAUGUUUCAAGAAAAAUAUUUUCCUUCUAAAAAGGACAUUUCUUUGAUUUUGUAGUAACCAUUAAUCAGUCAUCUUUCUUUGUACCAAAGUGAUAUGCUCUGGUGAAUCAGUUAGAUAGCUUUACUGAACUUGAAGGUUUAAUUUUCACACUUCGUUAUUUUACUUAUUGGUUGGUAUGGUGUUGGCGUCCCACCUCGGUGGUCGCGGGUUCGAUUCUCAGCCAUUCCAUUGAGGAGUGAGAGAUGUGUAUUUCUGGUGGUAGAAGUUCUUUCUCGAUAUGGUUCGGAAGUCACAUAAAGCCAUUGGUCCCGUUGCAUGGAACCACUGGUUCCAUGCCACGUAAAAGCACCAUACAGACAAACAAAAAGGGUAUGCUAUAUGUGUUUGUAAACUAAUCCAUUUUUAUUAGCAAGAUAUGAAAGAUUCUUGCCCUUAAUACCUGGUCGGUGACCAGCUUCCACCUCACGUACGCAUGAGUUGUCAGAUGCCACAGAUUCCUUACUUUACAAUUGAUUAAAAAUUUGUCAUUUUUAACCAGUUUCCAGCUUUUACAAGAAGAUUAUCCUAUUGUUAAGACCGAAAGUUUGUUAGCUAUGAAAAACAAAUUGAUUAAAACUUUUAUGUUGAUUUGUGUUUCUCAAAGAUAGCAUUGAUACUGAUUCUCUGAAAAUUGUUUGUGCCUUUUUAUGUUAUUGUUGGUUGUAAACAUCUCUCCAACUAAUGUUACCAUUUCAAUCACAAGGUCAUCAUUGGUUCUCUCUGUCCCAAAGCCAGGGCUGUGAAGAAUGAUUUCCAUUUAUUCACUGUCUGUGAUGUUGCUAUUCAAGAUAUGAUGCUAAUGCUGAUAACAUUUUCAAGAAAAAUUCUUGUAUUUUAUUGUACUUUACUGUAUUUUGUUCUUAAAUAUUGAUCAAACACAAGAAAAUGUCAAACUGGUAUGCUGAAAAAUGACAAAUCUGAUGCAUUAUGGCAUUAUAAGUGACUCAGGGGUUAGAUUUUGGAUAACUGUCAUCCCAAAGGGUAAAUUUGUGAAACUGUGCAAGUGACCUUGCAGAAUUUGCAAUGGUGUAAAGAAACCAUUUGCUCUGGUUUUCCAUGUGUUGGAAUAGGAGCAAAUAGUUCAUAAAAAGUGGCAGUGGUAAUUAGGUUAACAAGAAAAAUUUUAUAUGUAAAUGUGAGUAGGGACUUCAGAUUGACUAAGCAUCCUGAAUUCGUUCUUGUUUGUAUUCUGUUUAUUCCAUUCUAAUGUUGUCUUUCAUUUGUGAAUGUACUUACUGUAGAAAGUGGUUGUACCUGUUAUUUAUUUGAAAUGUCAUUUAAGCACACAUCUUUACAGUCGAAUGUUAUUUAGGCUUAAUGAAGUUUUUUCUUGAGGUCAUAUAAAUAGGCUAUAAUCGUAAUAUAAAAUUUUUUUUACUGUAGUUCUGACUGUUAGUAUUGAAUGAUUUGUCAGUUUGAAGAUUUAUUCCUGUGAAUCCCACUUUCUAGCGUAAUAAUAAAAAUCUACCUCUAGUUUUGGACCACUGUUAAGUCACAGUCAAAACCACUGUUCUAAGGACCUUUAAAUGAAUCACUACAGAUUAUGCUGUAUUUUCCAUGUAGUCACAAUUUCUAUUUACUGUAAUUAAGUUUAAACAAUUUAGUGUUUUGUAGUUGUUUAAUGGCAUGCAAACAGGAUAGUACAUCUCUGUGAUACAUCACUGAUUGUUUUUCAAUUUAUUUCAUGUUCGGUGUCUUCAAAUGAUGUGAAAAAUGCUGUACAAGUUCUUGAAGAACUCUCAGGUUAACUAUUAGUAUUAUGAAUAUUGAAGGUUAGAGAAGUGACAGGAAGCUGGUGAUAUGGUCUUGUGCUACAUUAAGUUAAUAAACGCAGUGAUUCCAGUUUUGGAGAUGAGGACUGUAGUGAUACUUCACAAGAGUAUAGUGUAAUUUAGAUCUCACAUGACAAAAAUGUACAAAGGUCACCAUUAUUAUAUUUUAUUUUAAUAUGCAUAAUUUUUCAUGGGGAAAGCCAAAAGGUUAUUAGAUUUAAACAACUAUCCUUUACUAAAAUUGAAUUCACAGAAGACUAAAGAUAAAUUGUGAAUAAAUAACUAGCAGCUAAAGUACAGGAUGUAUACUAUACCAUGGGAGCAUGGCACUUUUCCAUUGUUGUCAGGAAAACAUUUCCAGAAUUAUACUAUAAAGGGAACAAAAGAUAUUAUAGGAAAGUGUAACUUCACAGCAGCUCAGCAGAAUGGCAAUGUUUGGUAUGCUACCUAAUGCGUAGUACACUCUGACUCAGGAAGUUAAAAAUUAAGUGGUAAACCAGAAGUCUGGAUAUAAAAAAUCUUUCAAAAGAUGGAAAAACAUGAAACCAGAUUAUCUAAAUCUUUAAUAUAGUUUUGAGGAAAAGAUUAAACAAUAAUUUUAAGUGAUUUCAGGAUGUUCAUGACAUCAACACACACAGUUGACUAAUGGUAGGACCAACAGUCUGAAUGAUACAGUACUGGUAUCAAAACCUUGCUAACAGUGUUAAACAUUAUAGUUACAUUUAGGUUAUUUAAGUGCUGUGAAAUAUUAUUAUUACAGUGGUCCCUCCAGAUUUGCGGGGGAUGCAUACUAGACCCCUUGUGAAUAGUUAGAACCCGCGAAUAGUUGGAACCCCUAUAAAAAACGCCAAAAACAGCCUAUUUUGUUAGUUAAAACUCAAGAAAAACCCACCAAAAAUUUUUAUACUUUUAUCACAAAAAGUGCAUUUAUGAUGAAAUUGAUAAAAAAAAACAAGAAUUUGAGGAUAUUUCUUAGAAAAAUACCGUGAAUAUACUAAUUUUCCGUGAAUAAUGUGGGGAAAAGUUCCCGAGAGAAAUCCCUGAAUGUGUGAGUCCGCAAAUCUGGAGAACGCGAAUACGGGGGGUCCACUGUAUUAUUAAUUAGGUAGUUUAACCAGACGACCAAGUUGAAAUAAGUGCUGUGAAAAGUAAGCUAUUAGUUGGAGUUAACACCUUGAAUUGUCAAGUAGUACAGUAAUCAAUGUCAUAAAUACAGUAUUACGUAAGACCAAAGAACUCGCUGGAGGACUUGUUUAACUAGGUUACAUUAUUAAGUAGCAGGUUCCAAAUCUGGUAGAACAUACAUCUUUGAUACUUAGAUUUUAAUUUGGGGGAGUGAAAACAGCAUCAUGUUGUGUAUCUGCAGUACUAACAGUUGCUUUAAAAUCUGUAUAGUAGAUCAAGUACCGUGCUUUACUAUUCAAACCAUAAAGAUAAAUUUUUGCAGUGAUUGCCACAAAUUUAACAAUUCAGAGAUAACAUGAACUUAGUUGGGGGUGGCAAAGCACGCUUCAGUUUUGAAGGUUACCUUGGAUAAAGUGCCGUAGAUCAGAUAGCAAGCAAAUAUAAAGAGCAAACAAACUUAAUUUUGUCUUCUAUUCACUUGGGCUGACAGAAAUGGAUUGUUUGGAUGUCAUGUACUUGAAAAUCAACUUUUCAGAAACUUGAAAGAGCAUAAUAAAGAUAGAAACUGGAUAGCAGUGAUUGAGCUUUGGUCUUUUGGUAUCGGCAUUAGGUUUUAUAGUACGUAAUAGCCACAGAACUGAAAGAUUGAGUCAUAUAAAUGAAAGAAAUCAUAAAACGUACUGAGUUGUGAAAAGCUACCCUAUAUAAGGAAGGGAAAAACUGAAUAUGAAGAAGACUGAAUUGUGAAAAGAAUGCUGAAAAUUUGUUUUUAGUUAAUAAUAAGGACAAGGUAUUUGGAAACUCCUCAGGACCAAAGAUGUUCAGUUGUAUGGAGUUCUUUUCAUGUCCAAGGAGAAAAAGGAAAAUUUAGCAAAAAGAAUUGCAGCAUUACAGUUAGUAAGACUGUUUUGCCAUAAAAGUUUGGAAGAUUUUACAAAUUUUUGAAAACUGAAGAUGAAUAAUUUCUUUUGGUUUAGUGUUUUAGAUUACAAGAUUACAGUAUUAUUGCCUCUCAUACCCAGUCUGUAAACAAAUUCAUUUGAUUCACAGUGACUUGUGACAUUUUAACUUGUUAAAAGGCAGAUGGUGUUGAGAUUUGUUCUUUCAUUAGAGGUCAUUGUAGUGCCCUCCAUCAUCACAUUAAAAGACUUUUUUUAUGAGUUGCAUCAGAAAGUACAGUACUCCCCAUCAUAUGAAGAACUGUAGUAGACAUGAUUUAUAUUUGACUGUAAAAUGUAAUAUGAAAGUAAUAUAAAGUAUUUUGUUUCUAUGGCAGAUAGAACUAAAGCUAUUUACAAAGAUGCUUAAAGUUUGUAAGGUAUCCAUUGGCAUAGUAUUUGUAUCAAAGCUUUUUCCUUUAAUGUUAGACACUUAAACUGUAAGUGAUUUUAUAUUUAAUGAAACACUUAAAAAAUAAGAAAAACCUGCUUGUUAGAUAUGUGAAAUAAUGAUGUAGCUUUGCUGCUAGCUUUGUUUUUAUAAAGAAAAACUGUAAGCAAUAAGUCAUUAAUCUCUGUAUUAAAACAGGUAAUUUUAAGAAGGCUUUCUUGCUGUCAAGCAUUUUCGUUUUUUCAAUAGAAUGUUUCUCUCAGUUACCAAAACUUUUCCAAGACUAAUCACUGAAAAUUUAUUCAAAUAACACUUACAUUUUUCAUUUGAUUUUCUUAUGAUUAGUCUUGAAUUUAGGAAGGUUCUAUCCUCCAUUAAUAGAAAGGCUACUUUCAAAGAGUUACUUCAGUCAUUUCUUGGAAUUCAAUUUUUCUUUUUAGACACAGCUUUAUUGCAAAGGUAUUCUUGAAUUUAUCUGUUUUUCAUCCUUAAGCACAAAGAUUUUCCUAGAAGCUUUCAUUGUAACUAUUACCAUGGGAUUUAAGAUUAAACUAAUGCUUAAGGUGUGCAGUCUAUAGGCCAAAGUAUUGUGUGUUAACCUGUUCUUUAUUCUCUCUAAUUUUGCUCUUUGUCUUCCAUUGAAAAAUGUUGAAAACUAUCAUUUGAAGACUGGGAAUAGGAACUUUAAUAUUAUUAAACAUUUGUUUUAUUUAUUGUUCCAUUUAAAUUAACUGCCAUACAUUAGACUAAAACCUCUUUACAGCAACAGUUAUGGAGUUGAGGCUGGGUCGUUAAAAUAGAAGUGUUCAUUUUCUAGUGAAUUCUCUCUCACUUGAUCUCUCUUAUUUUAAAGCACAACUUUAUAUAGGAAAUAUCUUAAUCUCAUAUUUUCAUCACACAUUGAUUGUUUAGGUUAUCCCUUUUUGUUGCUGUAACAGUCAUGAACAUUUUAAUUUCAUGUAAAUAACAAAAAGGAAAUGUCUGUUAGCCAAUAGUCUUGCGUGCUCAUAAGCAGACAAACUAGUCUGAGUUGACUCCUUUCCACAUUCUUUGCUUAUGUGGGUAAAACUUUAUAGCUCAUUCUUUGGGUUCUUAGAUGCUCUUAGUUAUUUCAUGCUGGAGAAUUUUAAGCAUAAUCAUAUUUUAUUCAUUUGAUGGGAUACUUUUUCUUAGUUUUCCAAUUAAUGUUUGGCAUUUUGCGGGAAGUUUGAUUAAAAGUAUUUUAAAAUUACUAACACAAUUUUUUCUUGGUAUCCCAUGGAACUAUCAGUUGAUGUUUUAAUUAUUUAUUGUUCUUGUACAUAUUGUGGAACUGAUGUUCUUUGCAGUACUGCAUGUUUUUUACUUAUUUCUUAUUACUUUAUGCAGUUAUAAAUUAUUGGACACAAUAUUUACACUGAAACAUGUGAAAUAUGUUUAAACACACACUAACAUGUACACACUUGUUAACAAUGAUUUCAGCGAGAGAAAGAGAGAGAGAGACUGUUAAAUAGUGGUGUUGGAGAUGCUUCUUGGUCUGAGCAAGGUCACUGUAUAAUUAAUUUCAUCAUGUCUGAGUUUGCCAUAUAUUGAGAUUUUAGUGUAAGUACGUACAUGGUAUACUAGAUGAUUUUGCAACUUAGCUUCACUAGUGCAUCAGUGUUUUGGAAGGUGUUUGUCCUGUAAAUGACUGUUCCUCUUCAUAUCUUUCUUUUGCUUGAAUAGAGAACUGUUGUUUAUUAACCUUAAGUUAAGUUAGCCAUUUGUUGGAACUGUGAUUAUUCCUUAAAAGAAUUAUUCUUCAAUUCACCAGUUUAGCUCUCACUUAUUUUGUAUUUGUGCCAAAAUUAGAAAAGUGGAUCUUUAAAUGCUGAAAUUAUAUGCUAGUUCAAGUGAAUAAAACCCUCAUCCGUAGUUGCUUUAAUUUUGUGAGUGACAUUUGUACUGUUUUUUUCUUCCUUUGACAUUGUUACUUCAUCAUCUCAGACUGCUUUUAUAUAAUGGUUCUUCUGUAGGUUAAUCCUGUUAAUUAUAAGCAUCUCUAUGUAGUUGAAAACUAAAGACAGUUCAAAGGGUUUUAGAGUAGAUAAUAUAUGAAAGGUGUGUAAGUGGAUUCCAAACUUUGUACUUUGAGAAAGCCUAAAUGCCAAGUUGGAUAAGCAAAACAAGUUGUAAAUUAAUGUUUAAACAAGUGAAACAGUACAACUUUUAGGAGGGUAAGACUAAAUAGGUUAUAGUAUCAGGUGAUGUCCAGUGUCAGCACAAGAUGGGAUGGAAGUAAGUAACAUGUAUUACACCAAUUUUUACCUAAAAUUCUGAAUAAGUGGGAUUAAUGUUCAGGCUCAACUGCUUUUGCUUUUCUGGUUAGGUGGUCUUGUCCCCUCUGGUGCUUAAGCAAGCAAUACAUGACUUGCCUUCAAGAAAAUAUAUGAUGAAUUUUUCCACAGCUGUGAAGUGAGGAUUACUAUGGUGAGAUCCUCCAAUUUUUAUCUAUGAUAUAGUGCAAAUAUAUUUUGAUGAACUGACAGUUUGUGUCUGCUUUUACUCUCUUCUCCAUUUUUUCAACUCUAUUUAGGAACUACUUCAGGUGGUUGACAUAUUGCUUAGGUCAGUAUGGCAUAAUGGUUUUAGUGGAGUGUUGACUGAUAACUGCCUCACCUGGGUUUCAAGCCUAGUCUCUCUUGCUGGUGGGUACACUAUUGAGAGAGAUGAAGGAGCAGUUAGUUCUAGCAUAAAGAAUACUAACAUAAAGACAAAGAGUUGGUCAGGGUCAUUUUACCAGGAUCCAGCCUGAAUAUCACAUUCAGGACAAAGUUGGAUGGUCAGGUCGGACUCUGUCAAGACAAGACAUUCAUCAUAGGCCUGAUCAUAAAAGGACAGUUGUAUUCAGGACACAUUUUUAUAUGUUGAGUAUCACCAUAAACAAGAUGUGAGUAUACUGCUUGUAGAUCCCAGAUCCAACAGUGUGGAUGAUAAACAGUUUUUUAACCUUUGGGGCAAGUGGGAAUAUUAAGUGUAAGAGAUGUAUUUUGUGAUUCAUAUGAACCAAUCAAAAUUAUAAGAUUUACUCGGGUUCUCUUUCACAUAAGCUUUCUAUUAGCUCCUGGGGCAGAGUCGGAGAAUGAGUCUGAUGGUUCUUCCAACUGAAAUUGUACUUGUUAAUUGUUCUAACUGUUGACUGAACACUGUUUGUUUGUCCAACUGCUUAAGGCUUCAGUAAAAAAGAAAUUUUACAUAAGUAACUUACCAAGUAGUAAUUACAUAGCUAAUAGUUUCUAGCUAUGUAAUUACUUGGUAAGUAUAUGUAAAAUUUUAUUUUAUAAUGUCAUUUUAGGUUUUGUCUGUGGAAUGGAAAAUAUUAAUUUUUUCAUGAAUUUUUUUAUAUUAAAAUGUAAUGAACUUGCAGCUUUACAUUAAGAUAUCUUUUAAGCAGUGAUACCCUUUAAGCUAUGAUGUCCCUUGUACCUUUGAAGUGAGUUUAGUUUUUGAUAAGUUUUGGAAACAUGAACUUUCAUCAUCUAAGGUGUAUAAGUAAAACUAUUCAUAUUUUACAUGUUCAUCAGUUAUGUGAUAUUGAAUUUGUGAACUACUAUGAUUAUUGCAUAACAUCCAUGAUAUUGUAUGAUAAAGAGCACUAUUUACUACAUUAUAUUCAUUUACUGCUGGUAUUGUACUUAAUUGUUAACAUUCCAAUGGUGUAAUACUGCUUCGUUAAUGUGUCAUUGACUGACAUUCUUUUCUACUAUAGGUGUUUUAGUGCUUAGCAUUUUUCAGUGUAAUAUACAGUUUAUGGAUUAAAGUAAAAUAUCUAUAGAUCUAUUUAGAAUGUAGCUGUUGUAUUUUAUAGUCACUAUAAUUUUUUUACUAGUAAAUGGAAUUUUUGUGGUUUGUAGCUAAGAUUACUUGUAUAAAUUAUUGUCACUGUACCUGUCGAAUUUCAUACUUGCCAUUUCUGUAAAUAAUUUUUAUAUAUGUAUAUUGUCGAUGAACUACUAGUUGUCUAGGAUAGACUACUUUGUAUGACCAUCUCCAUGAAAUAUGCAAAACUCAGUAUUGUUCAUAUUUUAUAGUAAAAUUUUAUAAAAAUUUCUACUGAUUGUUCAUGAAGAAAAAUUUUUACAUAUUUUUAUUAUGCUUUAUAAUGUGGUGUGUACAAAUGUAAGUUGUCCAUUUCGUGACUCACGUGAUUUACACAUUUUUUGGACAUUCAAAUCUACGUUUUACACUGCAUGAGAAGUAUCUUUAAAUUAGAUUCAUAAGAUCCACAUAAAAGCGAGUGUAUAAAGUAUAAACAAUCACUCUAAUCAGGAGAUUUAAAUUAUUCAGACACUUUGUAAUACUAAUUGUACAGUCAGUUUAGAAAUGAAAGUGGCCUCUAUAUGAUAGUAGAUAUGGGAAUAAAAAUCAUAGAGUAAAACUGAAAUUACUGAAAAUGAAUGGCUGAAGCAAUCACUCUUAUUUCUAAUAGAGCAUUGUAUUCAAAUUUUUGGUAACAUCAAACUGGCAAUAUGGUGCGUAAGUAUACCUAUUUUAUACCAAGAACAUCCAAAUUCUAAUGACAAGCAGUUGAAACGAGCGUUACACCACCAGAAUGCACCUCAAACAUCACUCGAUGUAUACACAAGGUGUACUUUAACCCCUCUUGUUUCCUUAUCUUUUGUAAGGGUCUAUUUUUUUGCACACUUGCAAUAAAAAAAUGUCAUAACUUGUGUGCUGUAAUGGUUUCUUGUAUCAACACAUGGUUACAGUAUUCUACAAUGCUCUAAUUUUUCAUAGUCAGUUUUUAGUAGUGUUUGAAAUAAUUCUUCAUACUUCACUUCAAAAUAGUUUCAUGUUAUGGAAACAUUAGGUGUGUAAUGUUAAGGAAACCCUCAAAUAUUUUGUACACCACAUUUAGGUGUUGAUUUCUUCGAUUCCUUUAAGUACACAGAACUCAUGUGAUCUGUAGAUUACAAAUUUAUGGUUGGAAUGCUCUUCUACAUAAUACAUACUGCAAUAUGUAAGUGAUAUUCUCUAAUAAUGUAUAUUGAAAUAAAAUUUUAUUUGUUCUA